UAAAUAUCUUACAUAUUGGUGUUCAUGAUCACAUCUAUCUUAACAGGUGCUCCAGGACCUGUAGAAUUAUUCAUAUUUUAAAAAAAGUACCACCUGCCGUAUUUCAAAAUGCAUGGGGUAUAUUCCUACAUCAUUUUCACCACAUGCAGCACCAUAUAUUUCCAAUGGAGGGUAGAAGGGUGAAACUGAUAAAUCCCAUGCAUUUUGAAAUACGGCCUACAAAAUUCUGAUGAGAUAUGUGAAGAGGUUUUGAAGAAAUAUUUGUCAUUUUUGGAAAAAAAAGAAUGGCAGGUAAUUGAAAAUGGUGGCAGCGUUUUGUGAUAAGUUGCACGUUCAUUGGAUAACAUUCUUUCAGAGAAAAACAAAAUUUCAAAUAUAGGUGCAAGCAGCAAUUAAGGGGGCCAAGCACUCGUAAAGUCACUAAUAUACAGAACUCAGGGCGAUGAACAAGGCUGGAGCAGUCCCUAAACUCUAGGGCUAGGGAGGGGCAGGAGCUCCAGGGAAGAAGACACCGAGAACAGAAGGCUAGUCAAUAAAGAUUAUCUACACACAGAGUGUAGUUUGGGCCAAAAACCUUGGUUAAACACUUUUAAAGAGACGCUCCAUCCUGCUACUAUACAAUCCUCAGCCAACAGUAUAUAACCUGAUCAAAAACACGUUUUCAACAUACAAAAAUGACAAGUUUCUCACACAUACAAAGCACCAGGGCUUUGUUGAAAACAAAAAAGAAAACCAGAAACGAAAGGCAUCUUUUCAGGAACAAAAAAACGAAAAUAAAUAAGCAUUACUGUUCCUUAGCAAAAAUGUUAAGUGAAAAUUUAGGUAACUGAUGAUGAUGUUAUUUUUUGUUCCAUGCAAUCUAAGAAGUUCUUAGCCUACAUUUUCACUGGCCCAGCCGCCAAAAUAAAAGUUUUGGAAAACAGUUUUAUAAAAACCCAAGCUAACGUUAUUAACCAGCAAACUUCAGUAUCAAUAUUUAUAAACAUUCUAGCUUGCUAACAAGGUUUUUUCAUUUGGCUGUAGUUUGCUAACAUUAUCGGUGGCUGUGUGCUAACAUUAGCUAACUUUGGUUACUGUAGCUAUCUGCAUUUUCCACCAAAUGUAGGCUGGGCUUAUGCAUUUGUUUUAUUUGUGGAUGUCAAUGUCAGACAAAUUGUCUGCAUAGCGUACAUUAGGAAUUUUAAAUCUGAAGGAAAAGACUGACAGAAAGAAGAAACAUCUCAUACUCCUCUACAUCUCAAAAAAUCCCCCAAGGCACAAGGCUUUACUACAAAGGACCCAUUUUAAAGUUUGCAGGUAAGAUGUAGCGAUCACUUAAUGUAUUUUUUUCGAUAACCAUGUAUUAUGGCUUACAGCUGAGGCCAAAAGUUAGGGUAUCUUUAUGUCCAUAAGAGGUAACUUCAAAUUAGUAGCUAAGAGCAGAUAUAUUUCAGCUUUUAUGUACUAUAUCAGAUUUUCAGUGGGUCAAAACUUUACAUACACUUUGUCAGUAUUUGGUGACAUUGUUUUUAAUUGCUUAACUUGAAUCAAUCGCUUGGGGUAGCCUUCCACAAGCUUCUCACAAUACUAUGCUGGAAUUUUUGCCCUUUGCUCCUGACAGGACUGGUGUAACUCAAUCAGGUUUGUGGGACUCCUUGCUCGGACAUGCUUUUUCAGUUCAGUCCACAAAUUUUCUAUGGGAUUCAGGUCAGGGCUUUGUGAUGGCCUCUCAAAUACUUUCACUUUGUUCUCUUUAAGCCAUUGUUUUUACAACUUUUGAGGUAUGCUUAGGAUCGUUGUCCUACUGGAAGACCCAGUUGCAAUCAAGUUGUAACUUUCUAGGUGAUGUCUUGAGGUGUUGCUUUAGUAUUUCUAGGUAAUCCUCCUUCCUCCUGAUGCCAUCUAUUUUCUGAAGUGCACCAGUCCCUUUUCCAGCAAAACACCCCCACAACAUGAUGCUGCCACCCCCAUGCUUCACAUUUGGGAUGGUGUUCUUCGGAUUAAAAGUCUCACCCUUUUUCCUCCAUCCACAAUGCUGAUCAUUGUGGCCGAACAGUUCACUUUUUGUUUAAUCUGACCAGAGAAGACUCCUCCAAAAGGCUAGGUGUUUGCCCUGGUGAUCACCUGUAAACUUCAAUAUGGCUUUUUUAUGCCAAUCUUGGAGUAGGGGCUUCUUCCUUGCGUGACAGCCUUUCAGGGCAUGGCAAUGUAGGAUUCUCUUAAUGGUGGAUGUAGAUACUUUGGUACCUAAUGCCUCCAACUCCUUUACCAAUUUGUUUGUUGUUGUCUUGAGGUUCAGUUGAACCUUUCGGCCAAAAGUUCAUUCAGCCCUGGGAGUUAAUUUGUGCCUCCUUCCUGAACGAUGCAGUGUCUGUGUGGUCCCAAGAUUUUUAUAUUUGCAUAUAAUUGUUUGUACAGAACCUUCUGUUGUUUGGAAAUUGCUCCCAAGGAGGAACCAGACUUGUGGGGGUCCACAAUUUUUUUCCUGAGGUCUUGGCUGAGUUGCUUGGAUUUUCCCGUGGUAUCAAGGGCAAAAAGGCAGUGACUCUAAAGGUAGGCCUUUAAAUACAGCCACAGGUGCCAAUUAACUCGAAAUGAUGACUAUUAGCCAAUCAGAAGCUUAUAAAAGGUCAUUACAUCAAUUUCUGGAAUCUUCCAGGCUGUUUAAAAAGACAGUCAAUUUGGUGUAUGUAAACUUUUGACCCACUGGAGUUCUGAUAUAGUGAAUUAAAGCUGAAAUAAAUCUGUCUCUAAUCAAUUCUUUUAAAAUUACCUCUGAUGUGAACAAAGUAGAUGCACUAAUUGACUUGCCAAAAGAAAUGUACGGUAACAUGAAAUGUGCAGAGUUAUGAAAAACUGAGUUUGAAUAUCUUUAGUAUAGGUGUAUGUAAACUUUUGGCCUCAAGUGUUUAAAACAUUUUUAACGGGAUGUUAAACAUUUAGAUAAAAUUUUCAUCAAAUAGCAGUUUUAUUACUCUUUUUUUGUAUGGUAUGCUGUUUUGGGUGGGUGAUUUCUAAACCUCAUUUCCUUAAAGACUCUGUGCAGCCUCCCUUUUCUUACAUUUAAAUUGAUCCUGUAGUUACUAAAUUGCAAUAUAUAUGUAUUUUUUGUACUUAUUAGACUUUGAAAAGAUAAAAAACCUGCUUUGAUGUAAAACCUGAAUUUCUUAAUAUAGCGGACUCAAGACUGGCUGGGCAUGUCAGUUCUGUCCUAAUUAUUUAUGCAUUCACUUUUGAUUGACAGCCUCGGCCGCUCACUCCCACUGACCUGGAUCAGCGCUCACUCCACGUAACGUCAGUUGUUAGCUAACGUUAGCUAGUUAUCAUACGACCGUAAUGGAUAACAAGUGCAGCAAUAACACCAUUAGAAAUAUUGAGCUGUAUAUGUAUGAGCCCAUUGCUUACAGCCUACAAUAUAGGAGCCUAACAUUAUAGAAUAAACUACGUUAGCACAUAACAUUAUCGAUUGGUUUUUUUGCGGCAGUAACGUUAUAACAGUCUGGAGAAUAAAGUAAUGUUACACUCGCCAGCUAACGUUAGCUAUAUUUACACAAGAUAAGUACAGCUCAUUGCUACAUUAGCAAAAUUAUCGAUAGCCAGACAGAAAGUAAAUUGGGGAGAUAAGGUUAACAGUAACGUUAUAGUUUGUAGGCUUGAUUCGCUUAAUACUUAGCAGAACGUCGUCUGGCCCGAACGGAUGCUUACCGGAACAGGUUCAUUAACUGGUAAGCGUCCGUUCAGGCUAAACAUCAUCGACAGCGAAGUAAAGUGAGGUUAGGAUGGCUAACCUUAUGAUUUGUAAUAUAAUCUGCAUCAACGUUAAGUAACUUUAACGUUAACUGAUCGUAUUAAGUAAAUGCUUAAUUAGAUUAUCAAUAGCAUCAAAGCUAUCUUGGAUUCCCUGGUUGGGUUAGUUAGCUAUGUUGUGUUUCAUGCACAUUGAGCUAGGUAGCAUGCGUAAAACACCUAGAGCAAGACAUGAAAAGAUGCAUUCCUAUCUCUGCAAUCUUUAAUCACACAGUAAGGCAUUGUUGAACUGGAUAGUUAGCUAAUGUUAGCAGCAGACCCGUGCAAUAUGUAUUUGAGAAUUUGGUCAUGGCUUUGAACUUGGGAGUGCACACUACAUAAAUAUUCAUACUGGGUGAGUGUUUUGGCCGCCGCACAUUGGUCAAUGCAAAUUAGAAACAUUUGUUACGUCACGAUCUUGGUCUCAAAACCACCAAUACUAAAUGCUCCCCCAGGUGGCAAUGUUGAGCAUUGUAUAGUUUUUAGGGGAAAAAAACCUAAUUCAUUACAUACAUGUAUGAAAUACUUUUAAAAUCAAUGUGUAAGUAACUUUAUAGUCUUUGGUCAUAAUAUAAACAUUUUAAAAUCAUGAUUUUGACUGCACAGGGUCUUUAAUAUUUUUACUGUAAAUUGUCUCAUAAUUUCCAUAAAAAUAUAACUUGAUUUUAUUUCACCUGAAAGAUUCGAGAGAGGAACUAGAAACCUCCAGAAUAUCUGAAUGAUGAAAAGUGAGGAUGACGGAGAGCCUGAAAGAGAUUACAUCCUUGAUCAGAGGGCAAAAUAAAUGAUAGUAGCCAGAAGAGCCAUAGGUACACCUAGUCUGACGUGACACAGAUUCUGGCCUGCAUUUUAAAAUAUGCCACGGACACGCACAGUGGAGGUGGUAGAAAAAAAUGUAUUAAAAAAAUAAAUAAAAAUAAUAUAUAAAUAAAUAAUAAUAUUUUUGUUGUCGGUGUUGUUGCUGUUAUUACUAGGAGCCUUUAAAUGUAAAUCAUUGUUGUAUUGCUUGUUUGCUAUAACAGUUUUAAAUGUUUGCUUUUCAUUUGUUAAAAUAAAAUGUUAUUACAGAGUCA